CCCUUGCCGUUUCCACCAACGUUUACAUAACUUACACAUGCAAGUCUCCGCAUCCCCGUGAGAACGCCCUUAAACCUUAUUAGGACAAGGAGCUGGUAUCAGGCACAGUAACCCUAGCCCACUACACCUAGCAUAGCCACACCCUCAAGGGUAUUCAGCAGUGAUAAACAUUGAACAUAAGUGCAAACUUGAUUCAGUUAUAGUAUUAAGAGCCGGCCAAUUCGGUGCCAGCCGCCGCGGCUACACCGUGAGGCUCAAGUUGUUAACCGCCGGCGUCAAGCGUGGUUUAAGAUUUCAAAACCUAGAGUUUAAUUUCACAUCAAGCAGUGAUAUGCUGAUUUCUUAGAAACCCAUGAACGAAAGUCACUCUAAUAACUAACUUGAACCCACGAUAGCUAAGAAACAAACUGGGAUUAGAUACCCCACUAUGCUUAGCCCUAAAAUAUUUAUUUACACCUCAUUAACGCCCGAGAAUUACGAGCACAAGCUUAAAACUCAAAGGACUUGACGGUGUCCCAUCUACCUAGAGGAGCCUGUUCUAUAAUCGAUAUUCCCCGAUUUACCUCACCACUUUUAGCCUAUCAGCCUGUAUACUUCCGUCGUAAGCUUACCAUAUGAAUGCUAGUGAGCAAAAUGAUUUAUACACCUAUACGUCAGGUCAAAGUGCAGCCAACAAAGUGGCAAGAAAUGGGCUACAGUUUCUAAACAGAACAAACGAAAAACCUUAUGAAAACUGGUCACGAAGGCGGAUUUAGCAGUAAGGGAAAAAUAGAGAGUUUCCCUUAAAAAUGCCCUGGGACGUGUACACACCGCCCGUCACCCUCUUCUCAUAUUCUUUAAUAAGUUAAUUAACACACAAACCUUAAUCAAGAAGAGGCAAGUCGUAACACGGUAAGCAUACUGGAAAGUGUGCUUGGAUAUCAAAAUGUAGCUUAAUUAAAGCACUUCGCUUACACCGAAUAUAUAUCUGUUAGACCCGGAUCAUUUUGAGCCUUAAAUUUAGUUUAACCAUACUUAUAUACACAACUACCCCUCUACAACAAAAUAAAACAUUUUUAUGGCUUAGUAAAAGAGAUUAAAAAACCUAUUAAAACUAUAAACAUAGUACCGCAAGGGAAAAAUGAAAUAGAAAUGAAAUAAACCAAAAGCAAAUAAAAGCAGAGAUAUUUACUCGUACCUUUUGCAUCAUGGUCUAACUAGUUAAACCACGCAAAAUGAAAUUAAAGCUUGACACCCCGAAACUAAGCGAGCUACUUCAAAACAGCCUUUGAGCCAACCCGUCUCUGUUGCAAAAGAGUGGGAAGAUUUUUAAGUAGAAGUGAUAAACCUAUCGAGCUUAGAGAUAGCUGGUUAUUUGGAAAAAGAAUAUAAGUUCUACCUUAAGCUUUUCUGUGCCCCAAACACCCAAUUAAGCUUAAGAGCUAUUCAAAUAAGGAACAGCCUAUUUGAUUCAGGAUACAACCUAAAAUUUAGGGUAAUAUAACUUAUAAAUGUAACAAAGUCGGCCUGAAAGCAGCCACCUUUUAGAAAGCGUCAAAGCUUAUUUACUAAAAAAAUUAAUAAUUUUAAAAUUUAAACUAAACCCUACUUCAUUACCAAAUAAUUUUAUAUAACUAUAAAAGAUAUAAUGUUAGAACUAGUAAUAAGAAUUUGAAAUUCUCCAAAAUAUUAGUGUAACACGGAACAAACUAUAACCGCUUAUUAUUGCAUGUGAACAUAAUGUAGUACCUUAUCAAGAAAACACUACUAAACUUAGCAUUAAACUUACACAAGCAUAUUACUGGAAAGAUUAAAAGAAAGGGAAGGAACUCGGCAAAUCUUAAGCCCCGCCUGUUUACCAAAAACAUCGCCUCUUGAUAAACCAUAAGAGGUCCCGCCUGCCCUGUGACUCAGUUUAACGGCCGCGGUACCUUAACCGUGCAAAGGUAGCACAAUCAAUCGUCCCUUAAAUAGGGACUAGUAUGAAUGGCUUCACGAGGGCUUAACUGUCUCCCCUCUUCAAUCAAUGAAACUGAUCUUCUCGUGAAGAAGCGAGAAUAAAAAUAUAAGACGAGAAGACCCUAUGGAGCUUUAAACCCAUUACCACCUGCCCAUGUAAUAUCAUAAUAAUUAGCAGCCUGUUCUUAAUGGUUUUUGGCUGGGGUGGCCCUGGAGUAAAACAAACCCUCCAGACUGAACGACUUAAAACCCUAAUCUGAGAACCACUAUUCAAAGAAUCAAAACUUUGACAUAAUUGACCCAAUAAAUUGAUCAACGAACCAAGUUACCCUAGGGAUAACAGCGCAAUCCAUUUCAAGAGCUCCUAUCGACAAAUGGGUUUACGACCUCGAUGUUGGAUCGGGGUAUCCUAGCGGCGCAGCCGCUGCUAAAGGUUCGUUGUCAACGAUAAUAACCC
rnacentral:ncRNA from 1 species